GCUGAGCAGGCUUGAACGGUCCUGUGUGCUGUGCUCUCUGUCCUGCUGCUGGAUGCUGUGAAGGGAGCUCAGGCAAGCUCCGAAGUUGCGACAUGGAUGCAUUGACCUAUGAUGAUGUGCAUGUGAACUUCACUCAAGAAGAAUGGGCUUUGCUGAACCCUACACAGAGGAAUCUCUACAAAGAUGUGAUGUUGGAGAUCUACAGGAACCUCAAAGCUGUAGGCUACAAUUGGGAAGACCAAAACACUGAAGAAUAUUGUCAAAGUUCCAGAAAACAUGGAAGGUAAUUUUCAUGUUCAAGUUGGUAUGAAUUUGCCUCAGAAGAAAUGUUAAUGUGGCCUGGAACCUUUUUUAAAUUUUUUUUUUUUUUGGUGGCCUGGAACUUUUAAAGAUCAGCAACAGUGGAGAAAAAGCACUUCUUUAAGUGUAUUGUUUAAAUUCUCACAAAUCUAUGUACCUCAAUGUCAGGUGUUUGAUUUGUGUUUUCAAGGCAUUUCUCUAAAAGAAAAGAUAAGGAAACAAUGCUUUAACUGAUAUUGCCAUUUGAAUCAUAGCCACAUUACAGCUACUCUGUAAAACUGCCAAUCUAGUCUCAUACCACUCACAUAUUGCCAAAGAUAUAUAGUAGGUAAUAAGUAUAUGUUUCUAAUAAGCAAAUAUCCCAUAGUAAAACUGAUUACUCAUAUAGUAACAUUGCUAAGUUUAAGUGAGAGGGGCAGUUUAUGAGAAUCAAGAAUGUUUUUGAGGAGAAACCUUAAUUCCUAUACCAUAUAUCUAUGAUGAGCAAACAGCCAAACUAUGUGAAUGCAAUGUGGAAAUCUUUCAUUUGUUAUUCUUUUUUUCCCCCACCCCGUUAUUCUUUUUUUAAUAGGUAUAUCCUUUGUCACAAUGGAUAUAAACCAUGUGAGCAUAGGGAUAUUGAAAGAAGCAGACCCUUCUCUCUCUCCCAGAACAAUUAAAAUAUAUGUAGUAGUCCA
rnacentral:lncRNA from 1 species